rnacentral:tRNA from 1 species
GGUAAUAGCUCACUGGUAGAGUACAUGCUUAGCAUGCUUGAAGGCCUGGGUUCAAUUCUCAGCACUUCCA